GACGAACGCUGGCGGCGUGCUUAACACAUGCAAGUCGAACGCUGAAGCUUGGUGCUUGCACUGGGUGGAUGAGUGGCGAACGGGUGAGUAAUACGUGAGUAACCUGCCCUUGACUCUGGGAUAAGCCUGGGAAACUGGGUCUAAUACUGGAUACGACAUGUCACCGCAUGGUGGCGUGUGGAAAGGGUUUUACUGGUUUUGGAUGGGCUCACGGCCUAUCAGCUUGUUGGUGGGGUAAUGGCUCACCAAGGCGACGACGGGUAGCCGGCCUGAGAGGGUGACCGGCCACACUGGGACUGAGACACGGCCCAGACUCCUACGGGAGGCAGCAGUGGGGAAUAUUGCACAAUGGGCGAAAGCCUGAUGCAGCGACGCCGCGUGAGGGAUGACGGCCUUCGGGUUGUAAACCUCUUUCAGCACGGAAGAAGCGAAAGUGACGGUACGUGCAGAAGAAGCGCCGGCGAACUACGU
rnacentral:rRNA from 1 species